rnacentral:rRNA from 1 species
AGAGUUUGAUCCUGGCUCAGGAUGAACGCUAGCUACAGGCUUAACACAUGCAAGUCGAGGGGCAGCAUGGUCUUAGCUUGCUAAGGCCGAUGGCGACCGGCGCACGGGUGAGUAACACGUAUCCAACCUGCCGUCUACUCUUGGACAGCCUUCUGAAAGGAAGAUUAAUACAAGAUGGCAUCAUGAGUCCACAUGUUCACAUGAUUAAAGGUAUUCCGGUAGACGAUGGGGAUGCGUUCCAUUAGAUAGUAGGCGGGGUAACGGCCCACCUAGUCUUCGAUGGAUAGGGGUUCUGAGAGGAAGGUCCCCCACAUUGGAACUGAGACACGGUCCAAACUCCUACGGGAGGCAGCAGUGAGGAAUAUUGGUCAAUGGGCGAGAGCCUGAACCAGCCAAGUAGCGUGAAGGAUGACUGCCCUAUGGGUUGUAAACUUCUUUUAUAAAGGAAUAAAGUCGGGUAUGCAUACCCGUUUGCAUGUACUUUAUGAAUAAGGAUCGGCUAACUCCGUGCCAGCAGCCGCGGUAAUACGGAGGAUCCGAGCGUUAUCCGGAUUUAUUGGGUUUAAAGGGAGCGUAGAUGGAUGUUUAAGUCAGUUGUGAAAGUUUGCGGCUCAACCGUAAAAUUGCAGUUGAUACUGGAUAUCUUGAGUGCAGUUGAGGCAGGCGGAAUUCGUGGUGUAGCGGUGAAAUGCUUAGAUAUCACGAAGAACUCCGAUUGCGAAGGCAGCUCACUAGACUGCAACUGACACUGAUGCUCGAAAGUGUGGGUAUCAAACAGGAUUAGAUACCCUGGUAGUCCACACGGUAAACGAUGAAUACUCGCUGUUUGCGAUAUACGGCAAGCGGCCAAGCGAAAGCGUUAAGUAUUCCACCUGGGGAGUACGCCGGCAACGGUGAAACUCAAAGGAAUUGACGGGGGCCCGCACAAGCGGAGGAACAUGUGGUUUAAUUCGAUGAUACGCGAGGAACCUUACCCGGGCUUAAAUUGCAGAUGAAUUACGGUGAAAGCCGUAAGCCGCAAGGCAUCUGUGAAGGUGCUGCAUGGUUGUCGUCAGCUCGUGCCGUGAGGUGUCGGCUUAAGUGCCAUAACGAGCGCAACCCUUGUUGUCAGUUACUAACAGGUUCCGCUGAGGACUCUGACAAGACUGCCAUCGUAAGAUGUGAGGAAGGUGGGGAUGACGUCAAAUCAGCACGGCCCUUACGUCCGGGGCUACACACGUGUUACAAUGGGGGGUACAGAGGGCCGCUACCACGCGAGUGGAUGCCAAUCCCAAAAACCUCUCUCAGUUCGGACUGGAGUCUGCAACCCGACUCCACGAAGCUGGAUUCGCUAGUAAUCGCGCAUCAGCCACGGCGCGGUGAAUACGUUCCCGGGCCUUGUACACACCGCCCGUCAAGCCAUGGGAGCCGGGGGUACCUGAAGUGCGUAACCGCGAGGAGCGCCCUAGGGUAAAACUGGUGACUGGGGCUAAGUCGUAACAAGGUAGCCGUACCGGAAGGUGCGGCUG